rnacentral:rRNA from 1 species
AGAGUUUGAUCAUGGCUCAGAUUGAACGCUGGCGGCAGGCUUAACACAUGCAAGUCGAACGGUAACAGAAAGUAGCUUGCUACUUUGCUGACGAGUGGCGGACGGGUGAGUAAUGCUUGGGAAUAUGCCUUAUGGUGGGGGACAACAGUUGGAAACGACUGCUAAUACCGCAUAACAUCUCCGGAUCAAAGUGGGGGACCUUCGGGCCUCACGCCAUAAGAGUAGCCCAAGUGGGAUUAGCUAGUUGGUAAGGUAAUGGCUUACCAAGGCGACGAUCCCUAGUUGGUCUUAGAGGAUGACCAGCCACACUGGAACUGAGACACGGUCCAGACUCCUACGGGAGGCAGCAGUGGGGAAUAUUGCACAAUGGGCGCAAGCCUGAUGCAGCCAUGCCGCGUGUGUGAAGAAGGCUUUCGGGUUGUAAAGCACUUUCAGCGAGGAGGAAAGGGUAUUGCUUAAUAGGUAAUAUCUGUGACGUUACUCGCGGAAGAAGCACCGGCUAACUCCGUGCCAGCAGCCGCGGUAAUACGGAGGGUGCGAGCGUUAAUCGGAAUUACUGGGCGUAAAGCGCGCGUAGGUGGUUAAUUAAGUCAGAUGUGAAAUCCCAGGGCUCAACCUUGGAACUGCAUUUGAAACUGGUUAACUAGAGUUUUGUAGAGGGUGGUAGAAUUUCAGGUGUAGCGGUGAAAUGCGUAGAGAUCUGAAGGAAUACCAGUGGCGAAGGCGGCCACCUGGACAAAGACUGACACUGAGGCGCGAAGGCGUGGGGAGCAAACGGGAUUAGAUACCCCGGUAGUCCAA